GAUUGAACGCUGGCGGCAGGCCUAACACAUGCAAGUCGAGCGGAUGAAGGGAGCUUGCUCCUGGAUUCAGCGGCGGACGGGUGAGUAAUGCCUAGGAAUCUGCCUGGUAGUGGGGGAUAACGUCCGGAAACGGGCGCUAAUACCGCAUACGUCCUGAGGGAGAAAGUGGGGGAUCUUCGGACCUCACGCUAUCAGAUGAACCUAGGUCGGAUUAGCUAGUUGGUGGGGUAAAGGCCUACCAAGGCGACGAUCCGUAACUGGUCUGAGAGGAUGAUCAGUCACACUGGAACUGAGACACGGUCCAGACUCCUACGGGAGGCAGCAGUGGGGAAUAUUGGACAAUGGGCGAAAGCCUGAUCCAGCCAUGCCGCGUGUGUGAAGAAGGUCUUCGGAUUGUAAAGCACUUUAAGUUGGGAGGAAGGGCAGUAAGUUAAUACCUUGCUGUUUUGACGUUACCAACAGAAUAAGCACCGGCUAACUUCGUG
rnacentral:rRNA from 1 species